rnacentral:tRNA from 7 species
GCCGAGUUGGCAGAACGGCCAUGCACCCGCCUGCAGAGCGGGGGAAGCGAGUUCGACUCUCGCACUCGGCU